rnacentral:rRNA from 1 species
GACGAACGCUGGCGGCGUGCUUAACACAUGCAAGUCGAACGGAAAGGCCCCUUUGGGGGUACUCGAGUGGCGAACGGGUGCGUAACACGUGAGUAACCUGCCCUUGACUUCGGGAUAACUUCAGGAAACUGGGGCUAAUACCGGAUAGGAAUCCUUGCUGCAUGGUGGGGGUUGGAAAGCUUCGGCGGUUUUGGAUGGACUCGCGGCUUAUCAGCUUGUUGGUGGGGUAGUGGCUUACCAAGGCUUUGACGGGUAGCCGGCCUGAGAGGGCGACCGGCCACAUUGGGACUGAGAUACGGCCCAGACUCCUACGGGAGGCAGCAGUGGGGAAUAUUGCACAAUGGGCGGAAGCCUGAUGCAGCAACGCCGCGUGCGGGAUGACGGCCUUCGGGCUGUAAACCGCUUUCAGCAGGGGCGAAGCUUGUGGUGACGGUACCUGCAGAAGAAGCACCGGCUAACUACGUG